rnacentral:sRNA from 2 species
GCGCCCGUCCUAGGGGAGUAGUCUCCCGCGAGCAGCAGCUCGCCCGGCACGCGUCAACAUACUUGGUCCACCGACCAUGGUGCGUGCGACCCACAGCCCAGCAACACGGGCUGGCGCAUUGUUAACCAGCAGCCGCU